rnacentral:lncRNA from 1 species
AUUUUGGAAAUGAAGUAAAAGUAGGCAAGAGUUUAGGAGAAUUUAGAUGUAAAUCUAAAUUAAAAAAUUAAUUAACACAAGUCAUAUAGCCGGGUCAGGUUGUCAAGUUUUUUAAUGAAACAUAGCUACAUCCAAAUUCCAUCGAUAAGAAAUCGGAUCCUAUAUAUAGAAUCCGACUUUGAACAAACAUCGUUAUCAAAAACUUAAUUUGGAUCCUUAAGUUGAAUUGUCAUGUUUUUGGAUCCUUAAGCGUACCUAGUCGUCCCCAACACCAUCGCAGGAACCAUAACAACCCUCCCCACUGCCUGCUUAGGCCCGCACACGCCUCACCGCUCUCAAGCUCACCCACCGAUCACUUCACCAUUACUCCCACAGGAACACUACCUUCAUCCUCCUGUACGAGUUCCACCUCCCCUCUCGCCAAUUCCGCCCGGAUCCCGACUUGUCCCGGCCGGAGUAUGGGUUACGCUAUCUUUGUUCUUGAGUAUGGGCUAGCCACAGGAGGAGCAAAGGAGUUAAUAGAAAAGAAAAGAAAAUUAGAGAUGAAAAAGUCCCCCGGCCCCCCUGAAAAAAUAAACGUCAAUAAUAAUUGCUGUAAAAUAAAAUUGUGGGCCGGAUCUAGGAAAAAAAAAAAAAACAAAGAAAACUUCAAGCGUUUAGCUAAUAGUAAAGAUAGGAGCAUGUAUUGAAUUUCAUAAUGACUUGAACCUCCUCCUCACUUUGAGAUGCGCUUAUGCAAUGGAUAGGGAUAAAAAAAGUAACCAAAAAUUUAUAAGCAUGUUUCUUCAAGUUUAGGCAUUUACACAUGAACCUUAUAAAUUUAUAAAAUAUCGAUUAACAACUAAAAAGUCAAAUUGCUUGCACUAUAUCUAAACCAUUUAUCUAGAUCUUACUACCAUUAAUGAAACCAUAAAAAAAUUAAAAAUAUACUUAAUC